rnacentral:tRNA from 1 species
UGAAAACUACAACUUUCCUAGAAUAA